AGGAAUGCCUCUCAGCUGAAGGCUGUAAGAUUUAGCUAAUAGUGCCCCAAAUCCUAGCAGAGUGUUCUUUACUCUGAGGCUGUGUCCCCUCAGCUCUUGCUGUGCUGUGGGCAGGAUGAGAUUUAAGUGAAUGAAACCCACCAGUGAGCAAGUGGCAGUGGUGAACUUGCAAACCAAGUUGCCCAGGAGCUAGUGGCUCUGGAGCUCAGCAGUGAGGGGAGCAGCUCAGGUCUGUCGGCUGCCAGAAAACCGUUGUCAAAAGCCAUACCGGCAACCAAACCUACAGAUGAACCUACAGCUCCUGCCCUGUUCUGUUUGAAGGCUUCACUUCUUUUGAUCUCUCUGGGGCAACAGCCUGGCUACAGUCCACGUGUGUUUUUCUACAGCAUCAGAAACCGACUUAUUGCUCUAGGUGCUCUAGGUUUGCGGCUCUGUUGCCACCUGGGCAUGGCUAGGCAGAGCCACCUCCUGGCAGGAUGGUAAGCAAAGCUCCUGAUCUGCUCUGUCCACCCAAAAAAGGUGUGUAGAUAGGCCUCCUGAAACCUGUUUUGUACAUAAAGUGGGGUGGCUCGAGGGUGGGUAAGAGAAAAGGGCAGCUGGUUUAUUA
rnacentral:lncRNA from 1 species